rnacentral:lncRNA from 1 species
UCUUUACUACUUGAUAUAGUUCUGGGAUAUGUUGUAGAUUAUCUCCAUUUUGCGUAUAUACCCCAUGCUAUACAUGGUCUGUAUGAGUUUUGGGUAUGUUUUGUUUAAUGCUACUAAUUUGUUAUAUCCCUUCAAAGGUUUGGUUUGACAUCCAAUAAGUUUUUCUGGGUUAUAGUCUACUGAUUGUAUGUUCUUGUUUAGGUAAUUGACAACUUGUAUGAAUUGGUUCAUGAAGUUGUUAUUUUUUGCACGAAUUGAUUUUGUGUAGGUUUUUUG